AUUGAACGCUGGCGGCAGGCUUAACACAUGCAAGUCGAGCGGGGGAAGGUAGCUUGCUACCGGACCUAGCGGCGGACGGGUGAGUAAUGCUUAGGAAUCUGCCUAUUAGUGGGGGACAACAUCUCGAAAGGGAUGCUAAUACCGCAUACGUCCUACGGGAGAAAGCAGGGGAUCUUCGGACCUUGCGCUAAUAGAUGAGCCUAAGUCAGAUUAGCUAGUUGGUGAGGUAAAGGCCUACCAAGGCGACGAUCUGUAGCGGGUCUGAGAGGAUGAUCCGCCACACUGGGACUGAGACACGGCCCAGACUCCUACGGGAGGCAGCAGUGGGGAAUAUUGGAAAAUGGGGGGAACCCUGAUCCAGCCAUGCCGCGUGUGUGAAGAAGGCCUUAUGGUUGUAAAGCACUUUAAGCGAGGAGGAGGCUACUUUAGUUAAUACCUAGAGAUAGUGGACGUUACUCGCAGAAUAAGCACCGGCUAACUCUGUGCCAGCAGCCGCCGUAA
rnacentral:rRNA from 1 species